ensembl:lncRNA
AAAUAAGUCAAGUUUUCACAAUACGACAUGCAUUCCUCAGCAUAAUGUUUUGCAGAUAUUUUCUCUGUAGUUGCAUGUUCAGAAAACAGGAAAAGCAAGAAGAGUAGCAUGUAGGCUGUGAUUAAUAACUGUGUGUUUUAUUGGUAAAGCUUUAAAAAGUUCAGGAUAUUUUAAGGGUAGAAAUUAAGAGGUAAGCUCAACAGGAUACAAGCUAGACAUGCUCUGAUCUGUACAGGCUACUAUUUUUAAGCACUUCUAAACUUCUUGGUUAACUAAUGACCUUAUCAAAUGCCUUUUGAAAUGGGAAAAAAAAAACCCAACAACUUGAAUAAAUCUUUAAGAAAUAAUAGGUCAUCUGUGGAUACAGCCUAAUUUAGUACAGUGCUAGAGCAGCUUUACAACUCAGUAGGCUUGCACUGAUCUAAGUUGUGUAAUGAUAACCCUAACAGUAGUUAUGACCAAGUUUUUCAGUACAUUAACAGUUUGUGUUAUAUUUGGUUUGAGUUACAGGUGAUUAAGCAUUGGAGAAUUUGGCUUAAUCUGUGUAUUUUGCAAGUGGAAGAAAAAUAACUCUUCAUUUAUGUGACUCCUCAGCUGAAAUAGUACGUCUCUACUAGCUCAUCAGGCUUCUCUGAUUCAGUCAUUAUUAAUCUGCAGAAGGAUAAUGAUCAGGAGUUGAACUGAGGCUGUUACAAAAUCAGCAACAUAAUCAACAAAGCAUCCAAACUGUGCGUGUGUUAUGGAUAAUUCUUGCAAGUAAAAGUUUCAGAAAACUUCAUUCAACACCUUCAGGUUCUUUUCUUUUAAAGAGAAAAGAAUGCUUUGUGAGUUAUUGCAGUGCUUUUAAAUUCAAGCUUUUGUAGUUGUAAAUGAAAACUGAAUUUUCCAAUCUUGCAUAUAUUUCAAUUUGUUCUCUUGGUGUUCACUUGAGUAUUUCCCACUUACUGACUGUUGUUUUAAUGUUGAUUUAGAAGCAACUCUGAAUACAGAAGUGUUAUCUUUUUAUAUUCCCUGUGUAUGUUCAUGUAUAUUUUAGAAUUAGAUAUCUAAUUUGACUUCAAAAAAAGUAAAAUUUGUUUUCUAGUAUUCUAGCAAAUUUCUGUACAUUUUUCCCCAUUACAAAAGUUAGUAGCUGCAUGAGCCUGAAUGCUGUUUGUUCACAAGAAGUUUGCCUGGCAUUGUCUUCAUUACUUAUGUAGGUAGGGCAUUUUUAGUUGAAGGAGGGUGGCCAUAGCAUAGGUGUAUUCUUCAUUUUGAGGAAGAACUGUUCAGUUCAGUACAAUGGAAAGAAAAAAUAUCACCAAAGGACUGAAAGGAUGUGGUGUUAGUACCGUAAUACAAACAUGAAAAACAACCAGAGGAUAAAACUUAAUCUGAUCUGAAUGUUGUACAAAUACAAACUAUAGAACUAAAGUUGAGUACUGAACGUCAGUGCAGCUUUAGAUUGACCCUUAAGGGAGGAAGCAAUAGACAUAAUAGUGUAUUUGAUGCAAAGAAUGCACUACCAGUAAACAUGCAAACAUUUGAACUUUUUGAGGAAAAGAAGGCAGAAAAGAUAAAGGCAGGUAAAACAGGAAGUAGGUAUCUAAGAGAAAUGAAAAAGAGUCAACAACAUCGUGUGGUCUGAUUUAUCUACUUCUCUUAUCUUGGAAGUUGUCAAAUACAAAAAUGUGAAUGGUCCAGGACAUCACCUUAGUCUGAAAUGUCUCUUUGAUGAAAGACCAUUUCAACGCCUUUGAUUAUCCUGUUUAAAAAUCUUAGGUAGCUUCAGUGUUGUACUCUUACCUUUGGCUAUAAUCGGUAUUAAGAUCAUAUAAUGAGACAACUUUGUUCAUUCCAG